rnacentral:rRNA from 1 species
UCAUUAUUGAAAACAAGGGUGUCCAAUUUAACUUGGAACCCAAACUUCUCAAUUCUAACUUUGUGCAUCUGUAUUAAUGGCGAGCAACUUCGGUUGUGAGCCUUCACUUACAAAACACUAGUCUAUGAAUGUAAAAUUUUUAUAACAAAUAAAAACUUUCAACAACGGAUCUCUUGGCUCUCGCAUCGAUGAAGAACGCAGCGAAAUGCGAUACGUAAUGUGAAUUGCAGAAUUCAGUGAAUCAUCGAAUCUUUGAACGCAUCUUGCGCUCUCUGGUAUUCCGGGGAGCAUGUCUGUUUGAGUGUCAUGAAUUCUUCAACCCAAUCUUUUCUUGUAAUCGAUUGGUGUUUGGAUUCUGAGCGUUGCUGGCUUUAUUGCUCAGCUCGUUCGUAAUACAUUAGCAUCCCUAAUACAAGUUUGGAUUGACUUGGCGUAAUAGACUAUUCGCUAAGGAUUCGGUGGAAACAUCGAGCCAACUUCAUUAAGGAAGCUCCUAAUUUAAAAGUCUACCUUUUGAUUAGAUCUCAAAUCAGGCAGGAUUACCCGCUGAACUUAAGCAUAUCAAUAAGCGGAGGAA